rnacentral:misc_RNA from 1 species
UUAAGUUCAGCGGGUAGUCCCACCCGAUCUGAGGUCAAAUUGUCAAAGGUUGUCCAAAGACGGUUGGCAGCAUACAUCCCAUGCUCGAGGGCGCGCCUCCGGAGAGGCUUGACCAGCGAAGAUACUUAUCACGCUGUCUACACCGACGGGCGGGGCACACUGAGACAUUCAAGACGAGCCAUGUAACACGGCAGCGUCCA